UCUGUGGUGUAGUGGUUAUAACAUCCGCCUAAGAUGCCGAAGGUUCCCGGUUCAAUCCCAGGCUUGAGAU